AGCUUUAUAGUUUAUAUAAAACAUUAAUUUUGUAAAUUAAUAUAAUUAUUAUUUAAUUUAAGCUA
rnacentral:tRNA from 1 species